AUUGAACGCUGGCGGCAUGCCUAACACAUGCAAGUCGAGCGUAGCGACGUACGGGUGAGUAAUUCCUACGCAUCUACCUGGUCUUUGGGGCUAACAUCCGGACACGGGCGCUAAUACCGCAUACUAUCAGAUGUGCCUAGGUCGGAUUAGCUAGUUGGUGGGGUAAAGGCCUACCAAGGCGACGAUCCGUAACUGAUCUGACAGGAUGAUCAGUCACACUGGAACUGAGACACGGUCCAGACUCCGACGGGAGGCAGCAGUGGGGAAUAUUUCACAAUGGGCGCAAGCCUGAUGGGGACAUGCCGCGUGUGUGAAGAAGGUCUUCGGGUUGUAAAGCACUUUUAGCAGGGAAGCGUUACCUGAAGAGGAAGCACCGGCUAACUCCGUGCCAGCCGCCGCGGUAAUAC
rnacentral:rRNA from 1 species